rnacentral:rRNA from 1 species
AUUGAACGCUGGCGGCAUGCUUUACACAUGCAAGUCGAACGGCAGCGCGGGCUUCGGCCUGGCGGCGAGUGGCGAACGGGUGAGUAAUACAUCGGAACGUGCCCAGUAGUGUGGGAUAGCUCGGCGAAAGCCGGAUUAGUACCGCAUACGACCUGAGGGUGAAAGCGGGGGAUCUUCGGACCUCGCGCUAUUGGCGCGGCCGAUGGCAGAUUAGCUAGUUGGUGGGGUAAAGGCCUACCAAGGCGACGAUCUGUAGCUGGUCUGAGAGGACGACCAGCCACACUGGGACUGAGACACGGCCCAGACUCCUACGGGAGGCAGCAGUGGGGAAUUUUGGGCAAUGGGCGAAAGCCUGAUCCAGCAAUGCCGCGUGUGUGAUGAAGGCCUUCGGGUUGUAAAGCACUUUUGGCGGGAACGAAAAGGACUGUGCAAAUACCACGGUUCGAUGACGGUACCCGCAGAAUAAGCACCGGCUAACUACGUG